rnacentral:rRNA from 1 species
GAUGAACGCUGGCGGCGUGCCUAAUACAUGCAAGUCGAGCGAACGGACGAGAAGCUUGCUUCUCUGAUGUUAGCGGCGGACGGGUGAGUAACACGUGGAUAACCUACCUAUAAGACUGGGAUAACUUCGGGAAACCGGAGCUAAUACCGGAUAAUAUUUUGAACCGCAUGGUUCAAAAGUGAAAGACGGUCUUGCUGUCACUUAUAGAUGGAUCCGCGCUGCAUUAGCUAGUUGGUAAGUUAACGGCUUACCAAGGCAACGAUGCGUAGCCGACCUGAGAGAGUGAUCGGCCACACUGGAACUGAGACACGGUCCAGAGUCCUACGGGAGGCCGCAGUAGGGAACCUUCCGCAGUGGGCGAAAGCCUGACGGAGCAGCGCCGCGUGAGUGAUGACGGUCUUCGGAUCGUAAAACUCUGUUAUUAGGGAAGAACAUAUGUGUAAGGAACUGUGCACAUCUUGACGGUACCUAAUCAGAAAGCCACGGCUAACUACGUG